rnacentral:rRNA from 1 species
CCCUUAGAUGCUCUGGGCCGCACGCGCGCUACACUGGUCGAUGCAACGAGUUUCUUUCCUUGGCCGACAGGCCUGGGCAAUCUUUGAACAUCGAUCGUGAUCGGGAUAGAUUCUUGUAAUUUUUGGUCUUCAACGAGGAAUUCCUAGUAAACGCAAGUCAUCAACUUGCAUUGAUUACGUCCCUGCCCUUUGUACACACCGCCCGUCGCACCUACCGAUUGAAUGGUCCGGUGAAGCCUCCGGAUUGGCGCGCACCUCGGUGCCGCCGAGAAGUUGGCUAAACCUUACCAUUUAGAGGAAGGUGAAGUCGUAACA